AAAGUUGAGAUACAUGUUAAAGACCUCCUCAUCCUAUGGCUUACUUUACCAAAUUAAGAACUCUUUCCUCCUCAUUCUACGUCAUUAUUUCAGCGGCAGUUUCAAUCUCAUUUUUUUUCUCUGAUUCAAAAAUUUAAAUCAAGGUAAAUUUUUCCCCUAAAGUCAUAUUCAAUUUCUUCCAAUCUUAUCUGACGAUUUUUUUUCAAAUUGCAAUAAUUUGGCACUGUUUCUUCCAAUCUUAUCAGAUGAUUCUAUUGAAAAAAAAAUAAGGGACCAUGUUGAAUUUUUCUCAAAAUUAUAAUCCAAAACCUAGUGUUUAUAUUGUCUUGUUCCUCGGUAUAUUGCCUUCAAAGCCCUCUCUGGGAGCUUUUUGUAAGUUCUUUUUCCCCAAUGAUUGAUGUGUCUUUUGUUACUUAACUCUUAAAUUUCAAUUAGAUUUUUGAAUCAUGCCCAUGCGUGUUUUUAUGAUUGCUAUUUUCUGCUUUAGUAAUUUGUAGCUUCAUACGUAACAUAGCUAUGAUACUUGAAUGUGUUUGACAAGUGUUGGGUUCAAUAUUUCUUGUAUCUCUAUUUUUGUUGUUAUAGGUAUCUAUUGUUUUUUAAGUUUUAGUGAAAUAGGCAUAUCAAAUAUACAUGUUAGUAAGCUUUAAGAUAUAUAUUGUGUAUGAGAUUGUUUUGUAUGUAUCUCACACUAUUUUUGUUUUGAUUCAAUUAUUUAUACCAAAGAUACAUAUUCUAUAAAACAAAAAAUACAUUUUAAGCUUUUUGUCUAUUUGAUUUUGUGUUAUUGUGGAUUUAUGUAUCUCUUGUUAUUUCAGAUCUGGGUAAUUUUAGGCUUAGAUACAUAUAUAGACAUACAUGAUAAUUUUUUCAAUAUCUUGUAUCUCUUGUUAUCUAUUUAAGUUUUAUAUGUAACUCUUGUUUUUAAGUUUUAGUGAAAUCAACAUACUAAAGAUCAAGUUAGUAAGCUUAAAGAUACAUAUUGUGUAUGAGGGGUAUGUUAUAUGUAUCUCGCAUUAUUUUUUUUUUUUUUUGGAUUCAAUCAUUUAUAUCAAAGAUACAUAUCGUGUAAAACAACAGAUACAAUUUAAGCAUUUUCUAUCUAUGUUAUUGUGCCAUUGUAGAUGUUUGUAUCUUUUGUUAUUGCCUAUAUAGAUUUUCUUGAUGUUCAUACUUCUCUAUAUUUUUCUUUGCAGGUUUGCCCCAUAUUUAAUGAUGAGGUUUCAUCCACUAAUGUCACCAAGGAUCUUUAGCUCUAUGACACUUUGUAUUAAACCAAAUUAAUGUAUUGAAAGCAGUCAAAGAUUUAUUGAAUAUGUCAAGAAAAAUGCUCAAGUUUUUCAUUAACAUAUUCCACUGACAUAAAUUCUAUUUGAAUUGAGGUGUAUGACCUUCAUGUAUGUUUAUUGAGUAUCUUUAUAUAUGAACUUCCACUCUGUUCAGAAAACAAACUACUUUCGUUUCUAAGAUGACCAAAGACGGAUCCAGAAUUUUGAAUGCA
rnacentral:lncRNA from 1 species